rnacentral:snRNA from 1 species
CUCCCAGAGUUAGGAGUCUAAGUAUCGUAGCCAAUGAGGUUUAUCCGAGGUGCGAUUAUUGCUAAUUGAAAUCUUUAUAUAUUUUAGAUAUUAAAGCCUUAUCAAGAUAAAUAAUUUGCCCCAAUAUCAUCUUCCUUUUAGUAGG